UAUAUUAUGUAAUAAACUCCCAGAUUUUUCCGUGACCUAGCAACGCAGAGACCAGACGAGCGUGAACUGCGUUUUAUUGAUUUUAAACACGCAUACAGGCAUGCGCAUCGCUUCUCAAUUAGACACCGUCCGGACCCUAGACGCGAGCUAGGCACAGUCGGACCCCGACUACGCCCCGAACCGUGAGUGCUAGCAGCUUAUCAUUUUACUCUCUCAAUGCCCAGCGGCGCUUCACGGAAUUGAAGUUUAUGCCUCACUAGAUACCUAUACAUCCACACAAUAAUACAUUCAAAUUGGCCGAAAGAUCAUACACCAGAGAGAACAUAUCGGAUGGAAAUAGCCACUGGUGCCGACUGCUGCAGAUCGGGGCCCGCAGAAUGUUACCAACCUACCACACGAACUACAAACGGAUUGUGGGCGUAUUGUUCAGCAUCUAACAUGGAAUAUGGAUGAGGUUGGUUCCUUCUGCCGACUUUGAGAUCAAUUCCGCUUGAUCUGAAAUGUUUCGAUUAAUCAAUCUGAAAUCCUCGACCACGCUACAGUUAUAUGCAUACGUCUCAACUAUGGAGGUAAACAAAUUAAGCGACCAGUAACCGACCCUCAACGACGACGCAUCGAUAUGACAAGACAACUGCAACGCUUCGAGACAUCAUCCAACCCUAUGAUACGCCGUGCAACGCUACGAUACGCCAUGUUACGCUACCAUACGCCGUGCAACGUAUCUAUACGCCAUGCAACGCUACAACAUGAUAUGCUAUGCAUUGAUACGACACUCGAUAAUAAUGCGCUACAGAGCAGGCCUCGCUCCGCGCCGAUAUUCUGCGCACCGCGAAGUUACGCCGCGCAGUGCGCACCGCGUUCACGUUACCACGAGGCCUGCGCGCGCAAAAUUAAGGCGUGGCGAGAGCUGAACAAAAUGACGCAUUACGGUAAAUGGUCUACGCAGGUAAGAAAGGUAGCAUGGCGUCUGGUAUGUAUUCCUUUCAUUAUCUACUCGGUCCAGCGCUGCUAGAUAGAUAACCGAAGAAAAGAUCUCUUUUAGAAAAAUAUUAUAUGACGUCAGAAAAUUUUUCUCAAAGUAAGUACCUUUAAUAUUAGACCUAUAAAAAUUUACCGUAACUUUUCCUACUUUCAACAAUGACAUUGGCAAAAUCAUCGUCUGCCAACGAUGGAGCCACAAUCUAAAAAUUUAAUUGAAUUGAAGUACCUUUAAAGCAUCCAUGUGCCACAGCUUCAAAACAGAACCCACAAGUCCACCAUGUUGUUUUAUUAUUCUAAAUAAACGUGCGAAUUUAUCCAAAGGUAAUAUGGACAUUGCGGCGCGUUUCCUUUUAAAUAUUUAUAUAUUUUCAUUUGGCACAUGAAACUGUUAAUUUAUGACAUUUAGUUUUUGUAAACUUGAUGUAGGUUUACGUAGGUUUCACAUAUCGACUUAAAUUCCGAAAAUCAUUAAAAGAUGGCUCUUCUUAGGUUUGAUGCACGCUGGAUCCGUGAAUUAUUGGUUUCUUCUGCCUCGCUCUUGAAAUUUAAAAUUAUCUUUCUAGAUCAAUAAUUGUUCUUCUAUCGAACUUCAAAUAAUAAGUAUUGUCUCACGAAUAAUAUUGAUAGAAAAUAAAACAUUCGUGCAUAUAAGUAGAUUUGUUGGAGAAAGUAGAGCAUAAAAACAUAUUCUUUAGAUGAAGCAUUUGCAUCUGUUUUGAAAACACAAUUCAGAUGUUCUAAAUGCGUGCGGGCUAAAUAAUCGCAUGUGAGGUAAAUAAAGGUAUUCCUUAGUAAAGUACCCAAACAAUUCAAUAAUGAAGUUUUUCGUUUAAGUAAUAUAUUUUUUUAAAUAUUCUUAAGUCUUUGUAUAAUCACAAAGGCAAUUUCGGAUAAAGAGAGCCUGAGCUUAAACAAAUCUAUCUUAAUCUAGGAAAUAGUUAUUUUUCACUUCAGUCAUAAACCUCAUCAUACUAAUAUUUAUCUUUAAGUCUUGCACACACAGAAUCCACUUAUACCAAGGGUGUUUGCUGGAAUUUUCUCAUUUUAGAUUAGUUACAAAUUGCUAUAGUCACUGGUCCUAUCCUAUUACUAUUUGUCAAGGUAAAUUCUUCUCAAAUAUAUUUUUGAAGCUUAAUGCCACUGUAAUAUAAAAUAAUCACGCUUACAAGAGUUCAGAGAAGUGGUACUAGGUCAAUGAAGUCAUUAUGUAUGUUUGUGAAAUAUUGCGCAUUUGUUUAAGUAUACGCAUGCGCACACUUACCCACUGCGAUCAGGAACCGAAUGACUCUAUGGGGUGGCGGUAUCCAAAAAAGUCGCUUUUAAAGUUUAUUUAUGUUGGAUUAUUGGAUUUUCUAUUAAAUUCUACUUAUAUGUGCUCAAAAUAAUCCGAAAAAUCAGGGUAAAAUUUAAAGCAGCGAGACAGAAUCUUCCUCAACACCGGGCUUCACCCGGUGUCCGCUAAUACCAUUUUCUUCCACGCUUUGCUGCAAUUGACGCCGCCAUACUCUCUGAUAUAAGGGGUUAUUCAAAAUUUCUUCAGUUUUUUGUUUGAUCUAUUGAUCUACCAUUUCGAAAUUGGUCGAUUAUGGGAACUUAUGUGGUUUAUGGCGACGUCACUGCUAGCUUACCCAGGAGCGACGUCUUCGAGACUGUACAAAGGAUGGAGGGAUGGAGAUUCUUUUAGGAUCUCGUGGCAGCAGCUUAGCAUCAGGCUUCAGACGGCAUUUCAACAAUGAAAAAACAAGAUUUACAAAUUACAUAAACUGGCACUGAAAUGAUAUGACAUGCCUACGAUCUGCGAGCUUCAUCUUCCUUUGCUGCACAUCAUUUAUGUUAAUUAUCAAAAUUAUUACUUUACUCUUAAAGCAAAUCCAAUCCAAAUUAGCACCAAUUAUAAAUCAAUAUAACCAAUAUUUUAAACGAUACGAACGAAACAACCGAUUGACCUGAUAUUAUGAAAAAGCAUUAAAAUUCGAAGAAGAUUUAUUACUGAAGUUACAUGAAUAGAUAAUACAAUUUGAUUAUAUAUUAUAUGAGAAUGACGUGAGCACGGUUAUGAGAUUAUCAAAGAAAACUCCUCUUAUAUUGCUGUUUCAUACGGCCUUACUAUCCCAUCGUGGCUAGUAAUUGAUACAAAAUUCUUUAGCUGCAUGACAGCUCUUAUUGGCAUUAUAUAUGAGAUAUUCAGAGGAGUUAGAUGGUUACCGUGCUCACUGGGAAUAUGAAGAAUGAGUUAUGAGUGAAGAAACUCAUGAAGAUAGAAGACCUUCAAAUAUCCUUUUAAAAAGACCCAUACGAAUGCCCAUUAUGUUAAUAUUCAUAAAUAAAUACUUAUUAUAAUAAAUUACGGAAAAAAUUCUCAAUGGGGGAUAAAAACGAACUGAAAUGUGAUAUCAGAAAGCAAUAGCUUUUUGGACUAAAUUUUAUUAAUCAAAAUUAUUUAUUUGGCAACUAUAUAUCAUCCAAAUUUGUCUAAUUGGUAUACAUGGUACACAUGGUUAACGUGAAACAGAUGCGUAUAUGAAUUGGUAUGAUACAUGUAGUUUAUUUAUAUAUAUGUAAAUAUGUAUAUAACAUAUAUUGUAGUAUCUAUUUGUAAUAUAUAUACAUGUAUCGUGGCUUCGUAUGGGCAUAACAGUUUAUUAUAACAAAUAUCUAUAUAUUUAAAUUUGAACGUAUUUAUACAAACAAAAUUUAUUUAUACGGCAUGCAUAAGAAAAUAUGACUUAAAAAUUAUAAUCCGAUCAUAUCACAGAUAAACAAGCUUUUAAAAUACUUUAUAUAAUUUAAAAUUAAAUCAUAAAAUAAAUUAAAAUAAACAUAAACAACUUCACAGAGAAUUCAAAAUGUUACUUGAUUAAUUUUCUGAUAAUAUUUAUGUGUAACAAUACAUUAAAAAAUGAAAAGAGCAACCCGAGAGUUUCUUGCCCGUUCUUCUCUCGGGAAUCAGCAUUCCGAACGGGUGGUAGAGUCAUACAGUACGAACAAUACCAAUUAAAAACGUACUAUAUUAACUGAAUUACAAAAACAAA